rnacentral:misc_RNA from 1 species
AAAAAAAAAAAUUUUAUAAAAAAGAAUUUGCUGAGAGGAGUUUGGCAGCCUCAAAUUUAGUGAAAUGACAUGAGAUGAUUUACUCCAAUAACUGCUGAAUUACCAUUUUUAAAAUUUUAUGUCUGUGUGCAUACCUUUUUAUUUAGUUUUAAAAUGUUAUCUUCCAAAAUAUGCUUAAGUUUAAUGGAUGAUGAAAAGUAUAGUUUAGAAUGCAUUAUUGAUCUUUAAGUAUGAGCAAUUUAGAGUUCAAAUAUUUAUUUCAAUUUGAAAGGCCUUUAAAAAUUCUAUUUUAG